rnacentral:rRNA from 1 species
UGCAAGUCGAACGAUGAAGCCCAGCUUGCUGGGUGGAUUAGUGGCGAACGGGUGAGUAACACGUGAGUAACCUGCCCUUGACUUCGGGAUAACUCCGGGAAACCGGGGCUAAUACCGGAUAUGAGCUACCUUCGCAUGGGGGUGGUUGGAAAGUUUUUCGGUCAGGGAUGGGCUCGCGGCCUAUCAGCUUGUUGGUGGGGUGAUGGCCUACCAAGGCGACGACGGGUAGCCGGCCUGAGAGGGCGACCGGCCACACUGGGACUGAGACACGGCCCAGACUCCUACGGGAGGCAGCAGUGGGGAAUAUUGCACAAUGGGCGCAAGCCUGAUGCAGCGACGCCGCGUGAGGGAUGAAGGCCUUCGGGUUGUAAACCUCUUUCAGCAGGGAAGAAGCGCAAGUGACGGUACCUGCAGAAGAAGCGCCGGCUAACUACGUGCCAGCAGCCGCGGUAAUACGUAGGGCGCAAGCGUUGUCCGGAAUUAUUGGGCGUAAAGAGCUCGUAGGCGGUCUGUCGCGUCUGGUGUGAAAACUCGAGGCUCAACCUCGAGCUUGCAUCGGGUACGGGCAGACUAGAGUGCGGUAGGGGAGACUGGAAUUCCUGGUGUAGCGGUGGAAUGCGCAGAUAUCAGGAGGAACACCGAUGGCGAAGGCAGGUCUCUGGGCCGCAACUGACGCUGAGGAGCGAAAGCAUGGGGAGCGAACAGGAUUAGAUACCCUGGUAGUCCAUGCCGUAAACGUUGGGCACUAGGUGUGGGGCUCAUUCCACGAGUUCCGUGCCG